AAAUCAUGGUAAGAGGGCCAGUACAGACUUAAAUCUUUACAGAAAUUCUGAUACAUACGCUUUUAGUAAUUUGCAGAUUAAGCAUGUAAUAGAGUUGGAAAACAUAGGGAGAUUAUGUGAGAAAAAUUUUUCAGCUGAGUAAAGCCCUGUAAAUAAUUGAAAAGUUCCAAGGGAUUUUCCUGAGAAGUGAUCAUAAGUAUUCUAACCACAGUUGAACAUGCAGAAAGUGCUUAGUGAAUCCUGAUGAGUAUUUCUUUUUUAUUGAAACUUUAUACGUGUCUGUAUAUAUAUGUUUGAAAUUCAGUACUCUGCCAUUUUCAGUCUUAACACUGACCCUGUGAUGCCUUAGCCUUACCAGUCAUCAAAAGUAGUUGUCACUUUUAAUUAAAAGUUGGGGGGAAUUCCAAAGAAAUCCCAGGGGGAGAAGUUGGGUAUUCAAAUUUUAUAUUAAGCAGUCUUUCAUUAAAGCAGAAGAAAAAGGUCGGAAAACUAAAUAAAUGAAGCAGAUUUCUUCUGUGGGAGGAUAUAUACAACUAUAUGAUACCAGAAUUCUUUAAGUCAGACUCAAAAAAUACAUAGGUUAAUUUUAAGCAAAAACAAUCCCAAAAUUUUAGAAGAGAAAAAGCAUGGUUUCGUUUUGCUUUCAGGUCUCUGUGCUUUUACCUAACAAUAGUAGUAAACACCUAGAGGAAGUGGUCACAAUAUAAAACGUUUAGUCCUAGUUAUUUAGCUGUAUCUUGCAAAUACACGUAUUUGUAAGAUUACGUUCUACAUACCAGUGUUUGUGGAAUGGUGAUAUGGGAGCGUUGACCCUUUUGAUUCCCUGUCUGGGGUUGAAAUAAAGGCUUUUAUAGAGUAAAAGGAAAGUUCUUUCAAAAGGUCACUGUUUUAACUGAUUAGUAUUUCUUUAUUUUUUAACCUAUCCGUGUUUUUCAUUUUAAUAAAUAUAAAUGGAGUUUGUGGUUUUUUAGUUUUGAGCAUAAAACAUUUAGGCAAAGAUCACAGAUUUGGUCUCAGCUUUGCUGUAAUCCUUAACCCCACCAAUUGUCUUGCACAUGAGUGCUCUUUGACAUAAACGUGAGUGGAUAGAUGUGGAUGGAUCAACAUAAAUCCGUAUCUUAUGGAAUAUCAGCUCAUCAGACUGUGCCUUACUGCCAUAGCAUCGUCUUCCUACCCAGAAGCCAGCCAGCAUCAUCCUCAGUAAGGAGUGUCUACAGAACUUUGACCAUAUUUGUGUGAAUUUGAUUUAUUCUUAAACAGUGAAAUCAAAAAUGGUGGAAAACUAAUAUUUAAAAAAAGUGUCCUUGGGGGCAUUAAUUCUUGCUAAUAAAGUUAGAGGCUUAUUGGGUAGAAGAUUUAAAUGUAAUCUUUGAUAUAACAUUUCCUUGGGUUUACUAUUAAUCAUAAAUUAUCAGAGGUCCAGAGGUAGCUCUCCAUUAAGGUCUAGUAAUUGCUUACAUGUUAAGAUGAUUCUUGUCUCAAUGUGCUUGGUUUGUUUUAUUAAAAAAUAUUUCCACUUCCCAGUGGAAGUAUAGAAGUUCUUCAAGUAUAGAAGUUCCAACUUUAUACUUUAGGAAAGUUAAGUUCUUGGGGUAAGAUGUAAGUUUUAAUUGAAAAUUAAAUACAUGGAUCCUGGCAGUGCUAGAAUGGUUAAAUACAGCCUUGCUAUUCAUUCUUUUUUCCUUAGAUUCUCCUGGGUGAUUAACAUUGAAUUUCUUUGAACAACUUAAUAGGUUACCUGUUUUUCUUAUUCUAGUUUAUUCAGAUUAAAUGUAUAGGAGUUA